GUGCAUGUGAUGAAGCAAAUCAGUAUGAAUGAAAUCAUGAUACUGUAAACGCUUUCUGAUGCA
ensembl:snoRNA